rnacentral:lncRNA from 1 species
CUAGUGGUCCUUUCGGAUACCCUAAGGUGUAUGACCUUGCUUUAGCGAACCGGCCUGAUUAACUAACCAGUGUGUAGACGGGGAUUCCUCUGAAAGCAGGGUCUGAAACAAGCUGCCGGGCACUGAUGACGUCAGGAGCAGGGAUGAGGAAGGAGGGAAUGAAACAGGAGAGGAGGAAAAUGAGGGAUGCGUGGCUGUGUGCUUCUGGGUCAAAGAGAACUCAGUGAUGCCAGGGGACUUCUGAGAAGCCACGGAGAAAGCACCUCGGAAUUGUCCAUCGGAGGGGCGGAAACAUGCUGCAUUUUUUCCAACCAACUCUCAUCUUCCUCUGGGGGAGGACUGCUGCCUUGCAGCUCUGGGCUGAGCCGGUGAGAACCUGACUGUACUUCCAUGGUCUGGGAAAGACGCCUGCGGCAGAAAACUAGAAAGAGACCUUGGCACACAUGCUUGCGGAGGGAUGGGAAGAGAAAUAGGAACUUUCCUCUUCAGCGGAGCGGAAAAAGUUUAACCAAGCUUGAAGAGUAUUUACUCCUUGAAUCUGAAUGGUUACUGAAUUUAGCACAUAGUGGACACUUAGUGCUGGUUAAAACAAAGGAAGAAUGGAAAGAAACGAGGACAGAAAGAAAGGUCCUUUACAACGACUGGCUUUCAUUUAUGGGACUUUGUAAGCCCGCUGAAUGUGGGUUUUUCCCAAAGCAUUCAAAUAUUCCAUAGGGAAGCUCGCUUGGUUCCAAACCUUGAAGACCAGCAGCAGCAUUUGAAAAAUUAAAGAGGACCCAAAUUUGGGGCCAAUGACAUCUCUCCCAAAAGGCGACCCAAUCGUGGGGAAUUGAAUCCAGUAUGAGAAAAGGUAAAGGACCUAGCCUGGCCGGUCAAUCCUGGCCACAGCCUAUCGGUGUCUGGGGGAAAUAGAAAACAGACAUAGUAGAGGGAAAAACUGACUGCUGAAGUAGGCAGAUAAGAACUUGAAAUGAGCCUGAAGAAUGAGCAGAUCCAUCUAGUCCAAGCAAUAGAUCGCUUGAGACAGGCUGCUACCAUAACAGCAGAGGUCUCUAAAAGGGGUGUUAGAACUCACUCCCAAUGGACUUUUUUUAGUAAAAAAAAAAAAAAAUGCAGCUUGAAAAUCUGAAAAAUAGGAGUUCCCAUCGUGGCACAGUGGUUAACGACUCCAACUAGGAACCAUGAGGUUGCAGGUUCAGUCCCUGCCCUUGCUCAGUGGGUUAACGAUCCGGCGUUGCCAUAAGCUGUGGGGUAGGUCGCAGAAACGGCUCAGAUCCCACGUUGCUGUGGCUCUGGUGUAGGCCGGCGGCUACAGCUUCAAUUCGACCCCUCGCCUGGGAACUUCCAUGUGCCGAGGGAGCGGCCCUAGAAAAGACAAAAAGACAAAACAAUCUGAAAAAUAUUCAUCACCAAAGAAUUCUCUGGAGGAGGUGAAAAAUCACCUGCCUCCAGCUGGUUCUUUGCUCUGUUAAUGAUUUGUAUACAUGUGAACAAAAGGUUCGAUGCGCCUAUUAAUUACCCUAAAAUGAUUAACCUCCUUUUCCACUGUGGAGUUAGUGAAUCAAGGGGUGGAUCACUUAAACCUCUGCAUCGCAGAUGUCAGAAAAGAGUGUCCUUCCCCGUACACCCACCUUUCUCCUCCCUGGUUUUCUUUCUGCUCCCUUUCCACACACACGGAUAGCACACUGAGAAGAGAUGAAAAGCACAUUCAUCUUGUUUUUGCUCAAAUCCCGGCGCUAGAAAUGCUUGGGCACAAACUUUCUAAGCCAGGGCACAUGCGUGGGUAAUAAUACCCUGCGCGUCACCAUCGGAAUGUCCCCUUCUCCCGGUGUGCUCCCAUAUUACUCCCUGAACAUACAUUUCACCUAAAUUUGCCAUGAAAUCCUCAAGAUGUUCACAGCCUUUUUUAAAAUAACAUGAGGUGUAACCCACCUACUUUGCCUAUGGGUGGUAUGAUAAUUAUUAUUAUUAUUAUUUUGCUUGUACCCGCAGCAUGUACAAAUUCCUGGACCAGGGAUCGAACCCUCCCCAUAGCAGCAACCCAAGCUGCUGCAGUGACAAGUCCAGCUCCUUAACCUGCUGUGCCACAGAGAACUCCAGGUGUCAAUUUUAAUAGCCUCUAGUCUUGCAAUUCACCUUCCAAUUUAUGACCUCUACUCUAAACUGUAAUGUAGAUUUUCCCUAUUUUCAUUGCACUAUGCAACUAUCCUACAGAUAAAAUUUUGCUCUGGGGGCACUCUGCCAUAUUCCACGUGCCAACAUGAAGGGCUUUCUGGAAAGUUCACCUCAAAUUACACGAUGCCGAAAAGCAUUUAGACCAAAAAGGAUAUUCAGGAAGACAAUUUUUGUCUUUCUGAAAAUUGUUUAUGAGUAUCCUUGGGGUCAGGACUUGUAAUCAGCACUUGUAAUGACAAAGAUGCAGAUGGACAAGGGAGGAACUCCGCCUUGCAGAUAACAUGAAGAUGGGGAGAAAAAACUGCUGAGUCAAGUAUGAUACGCAACAAUCUAUUAACUACUACUAGGGUGCUUUAUAGUAAAUCAUACAAUUUUAUCAUAAAGCAUCAUUGUAGAGUUGCUGUUCUUAUUAUACCACUAUUUCAUAGAGGAAGCAUGAGGCUUUAUGUCUAGGGCGCAGGUGCAAAUCCACUGCUGCUGAGGGAAGGGAAGAGAACAAACACGUAUCCCUGGGGAAAGGGGCAGGAACACACGCUAGACAGAGGCCAUGAGAGAUCUCCUCUAGCUGAGGGGGUACGGGCUAGGAUCCCUAAAAGACCCCAUCCUCAAGACCCAGGCAGAGAGCCUAUCUAAUACUAAGGCGUGCUCAGAACAGAAAAUAUGACCCCUCCUCUGCUCUCACCACCAGGCUAACAAGCAUCUGAUAAAAAAUAAUCACAGUCUGUUGCUGGAAAGGGGCAACAAUGAACACCUAACAUCAAAAGUGGGGCCCAGGCUGAGGAAAACCCUGGGGCAAGUAAAUUAAUCCCUACCCCUUAAACACAAAAAAAGCUAGAAGAGUUUCAAGUCUGUGAUACACUGAGGUUGCUAUAGGUUGAAUUGUUUCCUGAAAAAAAAAGAUAUAUAUUUUGUCCUAAGCCCCUAAGGAUUUUUGCAGGUGCAAUUAAGAUUACUGAUCAGGAGUUCCCGUCGUGGCACAGUGGUUAAUGAAUCUGACUAGGAACCAUGAGGUUGUGGGUUCGAUUCCUGCCCUUGCUCAGUGGGUUAACGAUCCAGCGUUGCCAUGAACUGUGGAGUAGGUCGCAGACGCGGCUCGGAUCCCGCAUUGCUGUGGCUCUGGCGUAGGCCGGUGGCUAUAGCUCCAAUCCGACCCCUAGCCUAGGAACCUCCAUGUGCCGCGGGAGCGGCCCAAGAAAUGGC